rnacentral:rRNA from 1 species
CUACGGAGGGGGUUAGCGUUGUUCGGAAUUACUGGGCGUAAAGCGUACGUAGGCGGACUGGAAAGUUGGGGGUGAAAUCCCGGGGCUCAACCCCGGAACUGCCUCCAAAACUUCCAAUCUAGAGAUCGAGAGAGGUGAGUGGAAUUCCAAGUGUAGAGGUGAAAUUCGUAGAUAUUUGGAGGAACACCAGUGGCGAAGGCGGCUCACUGGCUCGAUACUGACGCUGAGGUGCGAAAGCGUGGGGAGCAAACAGGAUUAGAAACCCUAGUAGUCC